rnacentral:rRNA from 1 species
GAUGAACGCUGCCGGCGUGCCUAAUACAUGCAAGUCGAGCGAACAGAUGAGGAGCUUGCUCCUCUGACGUUAGCGGCGGACGGGUGAGUAACACGUGGAUAACCUACCUAUAAGACUGGGAUAACUUCGGGAAACCGGAGCUAAUACCGGAUAAUAUAUUGAACCGCAUGGUUCAAUAGUGAAAGACGGUUUUGCUGUCACUUAUAGAUGGAUCCGCGCCGCAUUAGCUAGUUGGUAAGGUAACGGCUUACCAAGGCGACGAUGCGUAGCCGACCUGAGAGGGUGAUCGGCCACACUGGAACUGAGACACGGUCCAGACUCCUACGGGAGGCAGCAGUAGGGAAUCUUCCGCAAUGGGCGAAAGCCUGACGGAGCAACGCCGCGUGAGUGAUGAAGGUCUUCGGAUCGUAAAACUCUGUUAGUAGGGAAGAACAAAUGUGUAAGUAACUAUGCACGUCUUGACGGUACCUAAUCAGAAAGCCACGGCUAACUACGUG